UCGGCUGCCUCCUGGGUUACUUGUGCCGCCGGCCGGUGCUGCGCUCGCUUUCGCGGUGUGGCGUGUGGAGACUCCACUUUCAGCCUUGCCAAGGAAAGUGAUUAACUCUUGGAGUGACAUCAGCAUCAUGGUGGAGUGACUUAGACUCUCCCCCCUAAGAUACAACAAAAAGGACAUUCAUAUGCCAAUAGAGGACAUUCACACAACACAAAAGAUGUCAGAGAGACCCACGCAGCCAUAUGCCUGAAGGUGGAGGUGCUGGAACCCCUGGAAGAAGUGGAAGGAGGUACCAGCUCUUUUGAUUUGGGAUUGGGGGAGAGCACCUGAUUAUCUGUGUUUUGCAACGUAAGUUAUAAAAUAUUUCUGAGAGAUUAAAAAUUAAAAAAAAAACCCUAAAUAUAUAAAAAAAAAAAUUGGUAUUCCUCACAAUAGGUGAUUUAGCCCAUUUGCAUUUAUUGUGAUUGGUGAUAUACUAGGACACAUUCCUGACAUUUUAUUUUUGCUUUCUGUUUACCAUGGCUUUUCUCUGUUGCUUUAGUUUUCCUUUCCUGUUUUCUAUUGGAUUUACAGUUCUCUUCAUUCCCUUUUUUCUCUUUAGUGAUUUGCUGCAACAUAGUCUAUUUCUUUUAGUGAUUAGCCUAGAAUUUUUAACAUGCAUAUUCAACAAAGUAUAAAGUUAGUAUCUCUAUCCUUUCCCAGAACAGGGACUUGACAACACUUUAACCCUGAUUCCUCCCAUUUUUCCAAUGUUAUUACGUAGUAUAUUCAUUUCACCUAUUUCUAGUCCUCUUCCAAAUCAGUAAUUAUUUAAAUUACUUACACUCAACAUAAAUUCAAAUUUACCAACAUGUUUACAAUUUGUUUUAUCAUCAGUGCCUCUUGCGUUCUACUCUUUCCUUCUCGAGUGGCUGAUGUUAAUGAUGCUUUUCUCAGGAAAAUGAGAUUUCAGAUUAAUGGUCAUACCUAUAGCUUUAAGUAUAGAAGUACUUUGCCCACAAAUGUGUCUGAGGCUGAAAGAAAACAUAUUAAACAUAUUAUUUGAAAAUAAAAUGUUAUCAUUUAAAAAUUUUCUUGCUGCAUUAUUUACAAUAGCCAAGACAUGGAAGCAACCUAAAUGUCCAUUGAUGGAUGAAUGGAUAAUGAAAUUGUGGAUUAUCUAUACAAUGCCAUAAAAAGGAAGGAAAUCUUGCCAUUUGUAACAUCAUGGAUGGACCUUGAGAGCACUAUGCUAAGUGAAAUGUCAGACAGAGAAAGACAAAUACCAUAUGAUCUCUUAUAUGUGGAAUCUAAAAAAAAAUAAAACAAAAACCAAACUCGUAGAUACAAAGAACAGGUUGGUGGUGGCCAGAGGCAGGAAGUGGGUGGUGGGCAAAAUGGGUGGUGGUCAAAAGGUACAAAAUUCCAGUUAUAAAAUAAAUGUCAUGGAGAUGUAACGUACAGCAUGGUGACUAUAAUUAAUAAUACUGUAUUGUAUAUUUGAAAGUUGCUAAGAGAAUAAAUCUUAAAAGUUCUCAUCACAAGAAAAAAUUUUUGUGACUGUGUGGUGAUGGACAUUAACUAGACUUACUGUGGUGAACAAUUUUUUUUUUUUGGUGAGGAAGAUCAGCCCUGAGCUAACAUCCGAUGCCAAUCCUCCUCUUUGCUGAGGAAGAUUGGCCCUGGGCUAACAUCCAUGCCCAUCUUCCUCUACCCUAUAUGGGACGUUGCCACAGUCUGGGGUGACAAGUGGUGUGUCAGUGCAUGCCCAGGAUCCGACCUGCAAACCCUGGGCCACUGAAGGGGAGUGCGCACUUAACCGCUGCGCCACCAGGCCGGGCCCGCUGUGGUGAAUAUUUUACGAUACAUACAAAUAUCAAAUCAUGUUGUACAGCUGAAACUAAUAUAAUGUUAUGUGUCAAUUAUAUCUCAAUGAAAGAAAAGAUAAAUUAAGCAAUAUAUUUUUUAAAAAGAAAAAAAUAUGUUCAAGAAAGUAAGACACUAAAAUAACUUGUGAUCACAGGAAUAAUUAACAACACAGGGUCUUGGCAGAGAUAAGAGAGUCUUCCAAUUAUGUGUAAAUAUCUAGUGCUCCUUGUAACCCUAUUUUAUUCAAUAAUGUAUAUGAUGUAUUAUAAAAAGAACUUUAAAUUCACUUGAUUACUUAAAAAUAAUUUACAUACUCAAUUAUUAGUAGACAUGAUUUUCUGCACUCCUCCAAAUUAAUCUCAGAAUGUUGCUGCUGACCUGUGCAUUUGCAUAUGUACAACAGCGCAGCCCAGUUUUUCCUUCUCAAAUGUGAGCUAUAGACCCAUGAAUUAUAUUUGAA